ensembl:lncRNA
AUGCUGAGCUGCCAGGGUACAGCUGAUGACAUUUCUUGUUUGUGGCCUCCCCAACAUUAUUUAGGUCACCUGCCACAUGGACCAGAGCUGCCACAGUUACACCUGCUCAAGACGCCCCAGCCUACGGGAAGAUUUAAGACUGCAUUCGCACACAUCUCACUGGCCAGACAACAAACUGUGAGUGGAUUUCUCCAGAGUUGUAAGUUCUCUGACUCCAUUAAGAAAGCAUCGUCUCACUUUGUAGGAAUGAUGAGGCAACAGAACAUGGCAGAAUGCAACCGAGCGUUUCCAGCCCCAACCUACAGUGUGGCCCUAAAGUGGGGUUUCCAACCUUUCUCCAUUUUCAAUGAGGCGGUUUCUCAACCCUGGCUCUGCUCUCCUCCCUGGGGCAUCUUGGCAAUGCCUCCCACUUCCUUCUAAUGCACGGCGAGAACGGCAUGUGAAUCAUCCUAAAGCACACACAUGAAGUCGGACACCAGAGCACGUUCAUGUCACUACGCAGGAGAGCAGCCCCGUGAACCUGUUCAACGGACACUCGCAUCCCACUGUCUGGAUCACCUGGGGCAAGACCAGCUCAUCGGCAGCUCCUUUAGGCCCCUGAGCCGUUAAAUGCCCCGAGACCGCUUUAAAGUAAAUUCUCACCUCCCGUGAGGAUACAGUAUACAAUGGCUCCCGCCUCUGCCUAAAACACAGAAAGUUUUUGCUAUUUUCUCCUGGAGUUUUUCAAAUGUAUGUUUAGUAGAAGAUCAACUCCCUGAGAGUCUGCAUAGAAUGGUCUGAAAACAACAACAACAACAACCCUAAUAAUUUUCUGGAAAGGUUCUAAUUUUACAGAAGGGUACACUGGAUUUUGCAUCCUAUGACACAUGAGGUGUUUCCUGAUUUCUUGCACCAGGUUAAUGUUUUAUUCAGUAUUAAACGGACUUAAUAUUAUUUUGAACCAAUCUGUUCAUGGACGUUUAGAUUAUUUACAAUCUUUCAAUUCUAACAUGGCUAUCUCUGUUGUACAUCAUUUCACAUUAUAAAUGUAUCCUUAUGGUACAUUCCUAGAUGCGGGAUUCAAGGACAAGUGUGUGCGUGGUACGUAGGGUUCUACAUUUUUCCAACCACUUCCUCAACAUAGUGCAACAGAAUACUGAAAACUGCAUGAGUGAUACAGAUACUUCACAGACGACUAUAAAGCAAGAGCCAGUGACUACCGUCAAAUCCCCCUGGGAAUCCCUCAGUACGCCUGUUCUUUAGAACCCUCGUCGGCUUUCCAGAAGUACAUAUCUUUAUUUUGUGAUAUUCACUGAAUUAUAAGAAAACAUGCAUUUUGAAGAAUUAUAAACCAAAGGGGGGGAAAAUCCAGGAUGAGAUCUAAAUAUACAUAGAAUUUAACUGGGAAAUUUUUUUUUUAGUUUAUUUAUUUGAGAGAGAGAGAGAGAGAGAGAGAGAGAGAGAGAGAGAGCGCGCUCACGCACACAAGCAGGGGAGGGGCAGAGAGAGAGGGAGACACAGAAUCUGAAGCAGGCUUGAACUCACAAAUGGUGAGAUCAUGACCUGAGCUGAAGUCAGAUGCUUAGCCACCCAGGUGCUCCUAACCAGGAAAUCAUCUUAAGGUUGGCUUAUCUUGGGGUGCCUGUGUGGCGCAGUCGGUUAAGCGUCCGACUUCAGCCAGGUCACGAUCUUGCGGUCCGGGAGUUCGAGCCCCGCGUCAGGCUCUGGGCUGAUGGCUCAGAGCCUGGAGCCUGUUUCCGAUUCUGUGUCUCCCUCUCUCUCUGCCCCUCCCCCGUUCAUGCUCUGUCUCUCUCUGUCCCAAAAAAAAAAAAACGUUGAAAAAAAAAAAAAAUUAAAAAAAAAAAAAAAAAAGGUUGGCUUAUCUCAAGCCAGUUUCUUGCCUUUAUCUUUGGCUGUGACAGCUGUUUAGAAGGCAUGACACAAAAAUAACAUUAGGGAGUCAGAGAAAGAGGAGGGUGUGGGGACAAAAUGUAGUAUUUUCUAUUUAUUUGAAAAAAAUUGUUUUAAUCCUUAUUUAUUUUGGAGACAGAACGAGAGAGACAGAGCAUGAGCCAAGGAGGGGCAGAGAGAGAUAGAGACACAGAAUCUGGAACAGGCUCCAGGCUCUGAGCUCUCCGCCCAGAGCCCGACACGGGGCUUGAUCCCACGAACUGUGAGAUCAUGACCUGAGCCAAAACCAAGAGUCAGACACGUAACUGACUGAGCCACCCAGGCGCCGCCGCCCUCUCCCCCCCCCGCCCAAAUAUAACU